AACGAACGCUGGCGGCAGGCUUAACACAUGCAAGUCGCGCGGCCAGCAAUGGCAGCGGCGGACGGGUGAGUAACGCGUAGGAAUGUGUCCAGAGGUGGGGGACAACCCCGGGAAACUGGGGCUAAUACCGCAUAUGUCCUGAGGGACAAAGCAGUAAUGCGCCUUUGGAGCAGCCUGCGUCCGAUUAGGUGGUUGGUGGGGUAAUGGCCUACCAAGCCUGCGAUCGGUAGCUGGUCUGAGAGGACGAUCAGCCACACUGGGACUGAGACACGGCCCAGACUCCUACGGGAGGCAGCAGUGGGGAAUAUUGGACAAUGGGGGCAACCCUGAUCCAGCAAUGCCGCGUGUGUGAAGAAGGUCUUCGGAUCGUAAAGCACUUUCGGCGGGGACGAUGAUGACGGUACCCGCAGAAGAAGCCCCGGCUAACUUCGUGCCAGCAGCCGCCGUAACAC
rnacentral:rRNA from 1 species